GGGAAUAUAGUGUAAUGGUUUAGCAUUGUGGAUUCCAAAUCCACUGGUCCUUGUUCAAUUCAGGGUGUUCUCA
rnacentral:tRNA from 1 species